rnacentral:rRNA from 1 species
GAUGAACGCUAGCGGGAGGCUUAACACAUGCAAGUCGAGGGGCAGCAUAAUGUAGCAAUACGUUGAUGGCGACCGGCGCACGGGUGAGUAACGCGUAUGUAACCUACCCUGUACAGGGGGAUAGCCCGGAGAAAUUCGGAUUAAUACCCCAUAAAGAUAUUUAGAGGCAUCUUUAGAUAUUUAAAGUUUCGACGGUACGGGAUGGGCAUGCGUGACAUUAGCUAGUUGGUAAGGUAACGGCUUACCAAGGCUACGAUGUCUAGGGGUCCUGAGAGGGUGAUCCCCCACACUGGUACUGAGACACGGACCAGACACCUACGGGUGGCAG